GACGAACGCUGGCGGCGUGCUUAACACAUGCAAGUCGAACGGAAAGGCCCUGCUUUUGUGGGGUGCUCGAGUGGCGAACGGGUGAGUAACACGUGAGUAACCUGCCCUUGACUUUGGGAUAACUUCAGGAAACUGGGGCUAAUACCGGAUAGGAGCUCCUGCUGCAUGGUGGGGGUUGGAAAGUUUCGGCGGUUGGGGAUGGACUCGCGGCUUAUCAGCUUGUUGGUGGGGUAGUGGCUUACCAAGGCUUUGACGGGUAGCCGGCCUGAGCGGGUGACCGGCCAGAUUGGGACUGAGAUACGGCCCAGACUCCUACGGGAGGCAGCAGUGGGGAAUAUUGCACAAUGGGCGGAAGCCUGAUGCAGCAACGCCGCGUGCGGGAUGACGGCCUUCGGGUUGUAAACCGCUUUCGCCUGUGACGAAGCGUGAGUGACGGUAAUGGGUAAAGAAGCACCGGCUAACUACGUG
rnacentral:rRNA from 1 species